rnacentral:misc_RNA from 1 species
ACCUUGCAAAGGCUUGUAAGGUGAGCUAAGUUCCGCUUCCGUCUACGGUUCUUACCGUUCUUCUCCUCGUUUCCGUGCGAUGCGGUACCGUGUAAAGGCAUACCCCGUCUUUUUCUAUAACUAUUUUAACGAAACUUGUUGAAGCUUAAUCCUCACGAGUUUUCCGUUUGGGUAUUUCGUGUGGUUUCGGAUGUUUCAAAAGUUUGG